UCUAGUGAUGAUGGCAAAGAGGUCACACCCGUUCCCAUGCCGAACACGGAAGUUAAGCUCUUUAGCGCCGAUUGUAGUUGGGGGUUUCCCCCUGUGAGAGUAGGACGUUGCUAGGC
rnacentral:rRNA from 1 species